ensembl:lncRNA
AUUCAACAUUCCUCUUGCGCUGUUUACCAUCACUGAUUUAUUUUUUCACUGCACUUCUGGAAUAGCCUUCUUCAUGAAGAAUGCAGUGCUGCCUUAAAAUUAGGCUAAAAGUAGGCAGCAUAAUUAAGUUCAGGAGCACUGCUAUGAUGCAUUAAAAUGCUGCCUAUUGAGGGAGCUCACUAGCUUUGAUGGUCAGAAUGAUAAUUUAUGACUAAAGUCUUAAUUUAUAGCCGUAAAAUCUGUUGCUAUUUAUGAGCAUAUAGGCUCCGUCCCUCUUUAUUCCUGCUGUUGUCUCUCAUUACUAUUUCCAGUGGAUGAAUUUCCAGACAGGCGUCCUGCAGUCACACGGUAUAGAGAGAAAUGAAUAACAUUAAUCAAGAUGAUGAAAAUGAUGAUGAUAGGUUCGAUGUGAGACAGUGUCAUGCUAAAAGUGGAUCCGUAUCAAGCCUUACCUUGAAGGCUUCGAUUUAAAUAUACAGAUUAACAGUGUCAGUUAGCACCAGUGCCAAAGAUGGCGGUAGUUUGUGCACAGCCACCUACACCAAGCGGGUUAAGCAGGCGCUGCGAGUGCUGGAUGUUGAUCAAUGUGUGAAACAGGGAGGGAAAGUAAAAACAGAUGGUGAAAGGCCACUGCCAUUCCUCUUCUCUGACUGCCAGUGUCAGUAUCCUCUCAGUGCUCUGCUAAAUUAAAACAACCACCAUCCCAUUGAUUCCAUAUCUGACAGCAGCCAUACAUCGAGAAGAGAAGAGAAGAGAAGAGAAGAGAAGAGAAGAGAAGAGAAGAGAAGAGAAGAGAAGAGAAGAGAUAUGCGCAAGAGCACCCAGAUAUGGAGACACAUUUCAGUGUGAAAGAGUAAAAAAGAAGAGACAUAGAAGAAUGGCUGAUGUGGGGAUCCCAUGGGAAAGGAGGCAUUUGAGCUGAUUGCCUGGCUAAUGACUGACUGAUUCGCUCCAAUCACACGGCCCUGCAGCCAGAUUCUUUGAUUGGACACAAUCAAGUCAAAUGGACCAGAGCUCUGAAUCCAUCAUUAUAUUUCAGCAAGCUACCUAGGAGAAUAACCACCCACCUAUUAGAAGCAGGAGGCUCAACCGAUCUCAUGAAUCAAUUUCUUGAUUCAGCGUGAUUCAAUCUUGAGUUGACCCUGAUGAAGGUACCAUGAUGUUAAUGAGCUGCAGGUGGUAUCUGGGGGCAGGGCAUUCUUAUUCUGGAUAGCAUUCGAUUGGAGAAAGAUCUCUGUAGUGCAGGAUGAGUCAUCAAUAUUUUCAAUCGAUUUUCCUGGAAGAGCAAUACAUUUUAAAUGCAUUUAUCUGAACAAAAUUUCAGUAAAAACAGUAAUGUUUUGAGAUAUUAUUAUAGUUUAACAUAACU